rnacentral:misc_RNA from 1 species
AAGUGGAAAUGGAACAAUUCUACAAUUAUUUUCUACCAGAACUUAAGGUGGACGGUUAUAGUGGUAUCUAUUCUCCAAAAUCUAGAGCAAAACAUAUGGCGGAAAGCGAAAGGAAGUAUGUUGAUGGAUGCGCCAUCUUUUUUAGGGAUUCGAAAUUUACGUUAGUAAAGGAACAUUUAGUUGAAUUUAACCAAUUAGCUAUGGCUAGUGCGGACGGAAUGGAGCACAUGUUAAAUAGGGUAAUGCCUAAAGAUAACAUUGGAUUAGCAGCCCUGUUACAAACAAGGGAAGCGGCGUGGGACAACGGUAGGGCUCCACCAGAUUCUCCCUUUUUUCAACAGCCUAUCUUGGUGUGCACAGCGCACAUUCACUGGGAUCCAGAAUUCUGCGAUGUCAAACUCAUUCAGACGAUGAUGCUGUCUAAUGAGCUGAAGACAAUUUUGGAGGAAUCUGUGCAGACCUUGAAGGCUCACGACAUCAACACGGACUCGAGUAACAUUCAGUUAGUAUUAUGUGGAGAUUUCAAUUCACUGCCAGAUUCUGGAGUCAUUGAAUUUUUGGGUACGGGGAGAGUUGCAAUGGAACACAAAGACUUCAAGACGUUCAGCUACAAGGCCUGUUUAGAGAAAGUACUCAGCUGUGAUAAACCGAAUGAGUUUACACAUUCCUUUAAACUGGCGUCGGCUUAUAAUGACGAAAUAAUGCCGUUUACCAACUACACGUUUGACUUUAAAGGUAUUAUCGAUUAUAUCUUCUAUGCCAAACAAACGAUGACGCCGCUGGGAUUGCUGGGUCCUCUCUCUCAAGAAUGGUUGCAACAGAACAAAGUAAUAGGCUGUCCGCAUCCUCAUAUCUACUCAGAUCAUUUCCCACUUCUUGUGGAGCUGGAAAUGGUACCAACCAUUACAUCCUCAAUGAAUGGACUGAUUGGUCACAGUUUUAAUCCGUACGACCGAAAAAUAAAUAGGUAUUAUAAUUAUCACUAUCCAAACCAGAAUCCAUACGAACACUAUUAUCAACAUUAUUAUUAUUCAUAACAAUGUGAUAAAAAUGGUUCAAGCUCAGACUCGAACCAGUGAUUCGAAUUCAAAAUUUGUAGCGGCCGACGAUAAUUAGAUCUUAGCCAUUGUCGCCUUCGCAUUUGCUGUGUACCUGUUGAUCAAAAACAGAAACAAAAAA